rnacentral:rRNA from 1 species
CAAACGACUCUCGGCAACGGAUAUCUCGGCUCUCGCAUCGAUGAAGAACGUAGCGAAAUGCGAUACUUGGUGUGAAUUGCAGAAUCCCGUGAACCAUCGAGUCUUUGAACGCAAGUUGCGCCCGAAGCCACUAGGCCGAGGGCACGCCUGCCUGGGCGUCACGC